UUUUUUGUAUGAAUAAAUUGUGAUGCUCAGUAUUCAAAAGACACAAAAGACCUAAAACUAUUACAGCUAAUGUAAAUUAUCAGGCUUUUAAUUGUCCUUGAAUGAAAUUGAAGCUUCAAAAGAACUUCGAAAAGGUGAAAUAAAUAUUUAAAAAAGAAUCUUUGAAAGGGCUUUUCUCACAUACAGAACCUGGUUACCGAACAAGAUUAUUGAAGCUGUGAUCUAUUUGGGAUCUUUGGCUUAUGCACUUAAUGUCUAUCAAGACGACAGAUGACUUUGACAUAAUUAAGAUACUAUUCUAGAAUGAAGGAUUCAUUUCAAUAUGACACAACAUCGAAGGUGAAGUGAAAACAUAGUUGUCAUUUGCCUGGAAAUAGACAUUUUAUUUGGGUUUAUAAAAAGAAAAGUAAUGCAUAAUUAUAUAAAUGAAGUCAUCAAAAUGUUUUGCAAGUGAAUCUUAUGUAGAUAAUAUGUUUUAAAAAUGUCAAUUUAAAUGUAGUUUGCAAAUCGACGAGAAAAAAAAAAACAAAAAACAAAACAACAAACCAAACGCAAC